UACGUAGGUGGCAAGCGUUGUCCGGAAUCACUGGGCGUAAAGCGCACGUAGGCGGCUUUCUAAGUCAGGGGUGAAAUCCUGGAGCUUAACUCCAGAACUGCCUUUGAUACUGGAGAGCUUGAGUCCGGAAGAGGUGAGUGGAACUCCGAGUGUAGAGGUGAAAUUCGUAGAUAUUCGGAAGAACACCAGUGGCGAAGGCGGCUCACUGGUCCGGUACUGACGCUGAGGUGCGAAAGCGUGGGGAGCAAACAGG
rnacentral:rRNA from 1 species